AUAUCUCUCUGUACGGGAAGGAUGAGAAGCUUCGACUAAGGUUCGAUUCGAGCGUCAGCGAGAAAGCGUUGCCGCAGGCAACGACCCGAAGGGCGAAGCGCGCAGCGCUGA
rnacentral:sRNA from 3 species